rnacentral:misc_RNA from 1 species
GGAUCUUUGUCUGUGCGAAUUCUUUGCCUUCUUAUAUUACAUAAAAAGAAAGAAAAUGAACUUUCUUUCUUUUGUUGUUAAUGAUGAUUGAUGAAUGAUGAUUAAUAACUAAUUAUAUAUGUACGUGUUUAUUAUUCUUCUUGGCUUUAGCUUAUAUAUAUGGUAAUGAUUCACAUGCAGGCAAUCUUGAAUUUAAAAUCA